ACAUACGACCAUACCCACUGGAGACCUCGGGAUCCCGUCCGCUCUCCCAUAGAUAAGCCAGUGAGGGCCGGAUUAGUAGUUGGGUCGGUGACGACCAGCGAAUACCUGGUGUUGUAUGUU
rnacentral:rRNA from 1 species